UCACUAAGUUUCGGUGUAGCCUGA
rnacentral:siRNA from 1 species